UACGUAGGGGGCUAGCGUUAUCCAGAAUUACUGGGCGUAAAGCGCGUGUAGGCGGCUGGUUAAGUGUGAUGUGAAAUCUUCGGGCUCAACCCGAAAACUGCAUUGCAAACUGGCCUGGCUAGAGUGCAGGAGAGGGAAGCGGAAUUCCAGGUGUAGCGGUGAAAUGCGUAGAUAUCGAGAGGAACACCUGAGGUGAAGACGGGUUGCUGGGCCGACACUGACGCUGAGUGCGCGAAAGCCAGGGGAGCAAACAGG
rnacentral:rRNA from 1 species